CACGUAGGGCGCAAGCGUUGUCCGGAAUUACUGGGCGUAAAGAGCGCGCAGGCGGUCGUGCAAGUCGCGUGUGAAAGCCCCCGGCUCAACUGGGGAGGGUCACGCGAUACUGCUCGACUCGAAGGCAGGAGAGGGAAGUGGAAUUCCCGGUGUAGUGGUGAAAUGCGUAGAUAUCGGGAGGAACACCAGUGGCGAAGGCGACUUCCUGGCCUGUUCUUGACGCUGAGGCGCGAAAGCUAGGGUAGCAAACGGG
rnacentral:rRNA from 1 species